GCGCCGGGCGUGCAGUGGGAGCGGCCAUGGCGGAGCGGGGCCGGGGCUGGGCCCGGGCCGUGCGGGGGCUGCUGCUCGAUGUCAGCGGGGUUCUCUACGACAGCGGCGCCGACGGCGGUGUCCCCAUCGCGGGCUCGGUCGAGGCCGUGCGCAGGAUCAAAGCCUCUGGGCUGAAGCUGCAGCUGUGCACCAACGAAACCCAGGCGACCCGGGAGAGCUUUGUGAGGAAGCUGCGGGCUCUGGGCUUCGACAUCGCGGUGGCCCAAGUGACCGCGCCAGCGCCGGCCGCCUGUCACCUCCUGCGGGAGCGCGGCCUGAGGCCACACCUGCUGGUGCACGACGAUCUUGUCCCUGAGUUUGCUGAGAUUGAUAAGACAAACCCCAACUGUGUGGUUCUUGGAGAUGCAGCAGAGAACUUCACCUACGCAAACCUUAACGAGGCUUUCCGACUUCUGAUUGGGAUGGAGAAGCCUGUUUUGAUCUCCCUUGGAAAAGGACGCUACUAUAAAGAAACCGAUGGACUGAAACUUGAUGUUGGAGCAUAUAUGAAGGCAUUGGAGUAUGCUUGUGAUAUCCAGGCUGAGGUGGUGGGGAAACCAUCAAAAAGGUUUUUUGAGUCAGCCCUGGCAGAGCUGGGAGUUCCACCAGAGCAGGCCAUCAUGAUCGGGGAUGACAUUGUGAAUGAUGUCGGGGGAGCCCAGCAAUGCGGGAUGAGAGCGCUGCAGGUGCGGACGGGCAAGUUCAGCCUGCAAGUUAGAGCAGAGAAAAAUGACUUUGAGGCUUUUCCAAGUGUCUCCCUGUACCUCUGGAAACAGCUUCCAGGUGCAUCAGAUGGAUCUUGGCAGGGGGUAAACUAUGCAGAAGGAUAACUCCCUAUGCCCUCAACCUUAGUGUUCCCCACGUGUUGAGAUGUAUUACCUGGAGAAGUGUUGGACUUAAUCUGGUUUAUUCUGCUCAGGCCGUCCGAUGAAAACCACCCCGAGGUGAAGCCUGAUGCCUACGUGAACAACCUGGCUGAGGCUGUGGACAUCAUCCUCCAGGAGCUGUAAAUCCCAGCAGGAACAGGAAUGAACCCUCACAUGCAGCCCUUCCAUGGAACCACUUCAUCCUCUCCCACCUCCAUCUCACCUGAAUGAACCCAGCCCAGCCUUGUGCAGGGUGGUGGGGACCGGCCUUCCGAAAUAUUUCACAACAUGAUACUAAAAUGAUCUACUGACCUCCCAUCCAAGGGAACACCAAACCUGCUGUCCUCUGGCAAGUCUUGAAUGCCCUGCCCUUGGUGCCUGUGAGGGGCCUCAGCCUCCUCUGGGUGAUGCUGGAGAGCUGUUCCCCCUUUUUAUCUUUGCUCUCCUGAAUGGAUUUACCUGUUUAACCCCCAUGUCCUGUGCCUUUUGGGGUCCCUGUGUGGGAUGGAGGAUGUCCUUUGGGGCUAAUGGAAGCCACCAAGCUCCUGUGUGUGCUUCAUGUGGCACAAAAGCCCUGGGGAGGGGGACAACCCCACAUGCCUUGGCAAGGCAGGAGCUGUGGUUCUGCCAGGACCAGCCUGUCUGGAGCAGCCCCAGGAGAGGGCACAGGAAUCAGUAGCACUUUAGGGAAUAACUGCACCAUCCUGUCAGGAAUAAACCCUGUCCUUUGGA